rnacentral:rRNA from 1 species
AUGCAGUCGAGCGGAUGAGUGGAGCUUGCUCCAUGAUUCAGCGGCGGACGGGUGAGUAAUGCCUAGGAAUCUGCCUGGUAGUGGGGGACAACGUUUCGAAAGGAACGCUAAUACCGCAUACGUCCUACGGGAGAAAGUGGGGGAUCUUCGGACCUCACGCUAUCAGAUGAGCCUAGGUCGGAUUAGCUAGUUGGUGAGGUAAAGGCUCACCAAGGCGACGAUCCGUAACUGGUCUGAGAGGAUGAUCAGUCACACUGGAACUGAGACACGGUCCAGACUCCUACGGGAGGCAGCAGUGGGGAAUAUUGGACAAUGGGCGAAAGCCUGAUCCAGCCAUGCCGCGUGUGUGAAGAAGGUCUUCGGAUUGUAAAGCACUUUAAGUUGGGAGGAAGGGCAGUAAGUUAAUACCUUGCUGUUUUGACGUUACCAACAGAAUAAGCACCGGCUAACUUCGUGCCAGCAGCCGCGGUAAUACGAAGGGUGCAAGCGUUAAUCGGAAUUACUGGGCGUAAAGCGCGCGUAGGUGGUUCGUUAAGUUGGAUGUGAAAGCCCCGGGCUCAACCUGGGAACUGCAUCCCAAAACUGGCGAGCUAGAGUAUGGCAGAGGGUGGUGGAAUUUCCUGUGUAGCGGUGAAAUGCGUAGAUAUAGGAGGGAACACCAGUGGCGAAGGCGACACCUGGGCUAAUACUGAC